CAGCCGCCGCGGUAAUACGUAGGUGGCAAGCGUUGUCCGGAAUUAUUGGGCGUAAAGCGUGCGCAGGCGGUUCGUUAAGACAGAUGUGAAAUCCCCGGGCUUAACCUGGGAACUGCAUUUGUGACUGGCGGGCUAGAGUAUGGCAGAGGGGGGUAGAAUUCCACGUGUAGCAGUGAAAUGCGUAGAGAUGUGGAGGAAUACCGGUGGCGAAGGCAGCCCCCUGGGCCAAUACUGACGCUCAUGCACGAAAGCGUGGGGAGCAAACAGGAUUAGAUACCCCUGUAGUCCCUGUCUCUUAUAC
rnacentral:rRNA from 1 species